UUUAGCAACCAUAGCACAGCGGUACCACCUGAUCCCAUGCCGAACUCAGAAGUGAAACGUUGUAGCGCCGAUGGUAGUGUGGGGUCUCCCCAUGUGAGAGUAGGACAUUGCUAAAU
rfam:Photobacterium iliopiscarium strain ATCC 51761 CFSAN029430_contig0022, whole genome shotgun sequence.